UAAGCGACUAAGCGUACACGGUGGAUGCCCUGGCAGUCAGAGGCGAUGAAGGACGUGCUAAUCUGCGAUAAGCGUCGGUAAGGUGAUAUGAACCGUUAUAACCGGCGAUUUCCGAAUGGGGAAACCCAGUGUGAUUCGUCACACUAUCAUUAACUGAAUCCAUAGGUUAAUGAGGCGAACCGGGGGAACUGAAACAUCUAAGUACCCCGAGGAAAAGAAAUCAACCGAGAUUCCCCCAGUAGCGGCGAGCGAACGGGGAGCAGCCCAGAGCCUGAAUCAGUGUGUGUGUUAGUGGAAGCGUCUGGAAAGGCGCGCGAUACAGGGUGACAGCCCCGUACACAAAAAUGCACAUACUGUGAGCUCGAUGAGUAGGGCGGGACACGUGGUAUCCUGUCUGAAUAUGGGGGGACCAUCCUCCAAGGCUAAAUACUCCUGACUGACCGAUAGUGAACCAGUACCGUGAGGGAAAGGCGAAAAGAACCCCGGCGAGGGGAGUGAAAAAGAACCUGAAACCGUGUACGUACAAGCAGUGGGAGCACAGAGCAAUCUGUGUGACUGCGUACCUUUUGUAUAAUGGGUCAGCGACUUAUAUUCUGUAGCAAGGUUAACCGAAUAGGGGAGCCGAAGGGAAACCGAGUCUUAACUGGGCGUUAAGUUGCAGGGUAUAGACCCGAAACCCGGUGAUCUAGCCAUGGGCAGGUUGAAGGUUGGGUAACACUAACUGGAGGACCGAACCGACUAAUGUUGAAAAAUUAGCGGAUGACUUGUGGCUGGGGGUGAAAGGCCAAUCAAACCGGGAGAUAGCUGGUUCUCCCCGAAAGCUAUUUAGGUAGCGCCUCGUGAAUUCAUCUCCGGGGGUAGAGCACUGUUUCGGCAAGGGGGUCAUCCCGACUUACCAACCCGAUGCAAACUGCGAAUACCGGAGAAUGUUAUCACGGGAGACACACGGCGGGUGCUAACGUCCGUCGUGAAGAGGGAAACAACCCAGACCGCCAGCUAAGGUCCCAAAGUCAUGGUUAAGUGGGAAACGAUGUGGGAAGGCCCAGACAGCCAGGAUGUUGGCUUAGAAGCAGCCAUCAUUUAAAGAAAGCGUAAUAGCUCACUGGUCGAGUCGGCCUGCGCGGAAGAUGUAACGGGGCUAAACCAUGCACCGAAGCUGCGGCAGCGACGCUUAUGCGUUGUUGGGUAGGGGAGCGUUCUGUAAGCCUGCGAAGGUGUGCUGUGAGGCAUGCUGGAGGUAUCAGAAGUGCGAAUGCUGACAUAAGUAACGAUAAAGCGGGUGAAAAGCCCGCUCGCCGGAAGACCAAGGGUUCCUGUCCAACGUUAAUCGGGGCAGGGUGAGUCGACCCCUAAGGCGAGGCCGAAAGGCGUAGUCGAUGGGAAACAGGUUAAUAUUCCUGUACUUGGUGUUACUGCGAAGGGGGGACGGAGAAGGCUAUGUUGGCCGGGCGACGGUUGUCCCGGUUUAAGCGUGUAGGCUGGUUUUCCAGGCAAAUCCGGAAAAUCAAGGCUGAGGCGUGAUGACGAGGCACUACGGUGCUGAAGCAACAAAUGCCCUGCUUCCAGGAAAAGCCUCUAAGCAUCAGGUAACAUCAAAUCGUACCCCAAACCGACACAGGUGGUCAGGUAGAGAAUACCAAGGCGCUUGAGAGAACUCGGGUGAAGGAACUAGGCAAAAUGGUGCCGUAACUUCGGGAGAAGGCACGCUGAUAUGUAGGUGAAGUCCCUCGCGGAUGGAGCUGAAAUCAGUCGAAGAUACCAGCUGGCUGCAACUGUUUAUUAAAAACACAGCACUGUGCAAACACGAAAGUGGACGUAUACGGUGUGACGCCUGCCCGGUGCCGGAAGGUUAAUUGAUGGGGUUAGCGCAAGCGAAGCUCUUGAUCGAAGCCCCGGUAAACGGCGGCCGUAACUAUAACGGUCCUAAGGUAGCGAAAUUCCUUGUCGGGUAAGUUCCGACCUGCACGAAUGGCGUAAUGAUGGCCAGGCUGUCUCCACCCGAGACUCAGUGAAAUUGAACUCGCUGUGAAGAUGCAGUGUACCCGCGGCAAGACGGAAAGACCCCGUGAACCUUUACUAUAGCUUGACACUGAACAUUGAGCCUUGAUGUGUAGGAUAGGUGGGAGGCUUUGAAGUGUGGACGCCAGUCUGCAUGGAGCCGACCUUGAAAUACCACCCUUUAAUGUUUGAUGUUCUAACGUGGACCCGUAAUCCGGGUUGCGGACAGUGUCUGGUGGGUAGUUUGACUGGGGCGGUCUCCUCCUAAAGAGUAACGGAGGAGCACGAAGGUUGGCUAAUCCUGGUCGGACAUCAGGAGGUUAGUGCAAUGGCAUAAGCCAGCUUGACUGCGAGCGUGACGGCGCGAGCAGGUGCGAAAGCAGGUCAUAGUGAUCCGGUGGUUCUGAAUGGAAGGGCCAUCGCUCAACGGAUAAAAGGUACUCCGGGGAUAACAGGCUGAUACCGCCCAAGAGUUCAUAUCGACGGCGGUGUUUGGCACCUCGAUGUCGGCUCAUCACAUCCUGGGGCUGAAGUAGGUCCCAAGGGUAUGGCUGUUCGCCAUUUAAAGUGGUACGCGAGCUGGGUUUAGAACGUCGUGAGACAGUUCGGUCCCUAUCUGCCGUGGGCGCUGGAGAACUGAGGGGGGCUGCUCCUAGUACGAGAGGACCGGAGUGGACGCAUCACUGGUGUUCGGGUUGUCAUGCCAAUGGCACUGCCCGGUAGCUAAAUGCGGAAGAGAUAAGUGCUGAAAGCAUCUAAGCACGAAACUUGCCCCGAGAUGAGUUCUCCCUGACUCCUUGAGAGUCCUGAAGGAACGUUGAAGACGACGACGUUGAUAGGCCGGGUGUGUAAGCGCAGCGAUGCGUUGAGCUAACCGGUACUAAUGAACCGUGAGGCUUAACC
rnacentral:rRNA from 1 species